UACGUAGGGUGCAGGCGUUAAUCGGAAUUACUGGGCGUAAAGCGUGCGCAGGCGGUUUGCUAAGACAGGUGUGAAAUCCCCCGGGCUUAACCUGGGAACUGCGCUUGUAACUGGCAAGCUAGAGUGUGGCAGAGGGGGGUGGAAUUCCACGUGUAGCAGUGAAAUGCGUAGAGAUGUGGAGGAACACCGAUGGCGAAGGCAGCCCCCUGGGCUAACACCUGGACGCUCAUGCACGAAAGCGUGGGGAGCAAACAGG
rnacentral:rRNA from 1 species